rnacentral:rRNA from 1 species
CCUACGGGAGGCUGCAGUAGGGAAUAUUGCACAAUGGGGGAAACCCUGAUGCAGCAACGCCGCGUGGAUGAUGAAGGUUUUCGGAUUGUAAACUCCUUUUGUUAGGGAAGAUAAUUACGGUAUCUAACGAAUAAGCACCUGCUAACUCCUUGCCAGCAGCCGCGGUAAUACGGAGGGCGCAAGCCUUACUCGGAAUCACUGGGGGGAAAGAGCGCGUAGGCGGGUUUGCAAGUCUGAUGUGAAAUCCUAUGGCUUAACCAUAGAACUGCAUUUGAAACUGUGAUGCUAGAGUAUGGGAGAGGUAGGUGGAAUUCUUGGUGUAGCGGUGAAAUGCGUAGAGAUUAGGAGGAAUAC